rnacentral:rRNA from 1 species
AAGUCGAGCGGUAGAGAGAAGCUUGCUUCUUUUGAGAGCGGCGGACGGGUGAGUAAUGCCUAGGAAUCUGCCUGGUAGUGGGGGAUAACGUUCGGAAACGGACGCUAAUACCGCAUACGUCCUACGGGAGAAAGCAGGGGACCUUCGGGCCUUGCGCUAUCAGAUGAGCCUAGGUCGGAUUAGCUAGUUGGUGAGGUAAUGGCUCACCAAGGCUACGAUCCGUAACUGGUCUGAGAGGAUGAUCAGUCACACUGGAACUGAGACACGGCCCAGACUCCUACGGGAGGCAGCAGUGGGGAAUUUUGGACAAUGGGCGAAAGCCUGAUCCAGCAAUGCCGCGUGCAGGAUGAAGGCCUUCGGGUUGUAAACUGCUUUUGUACGGAACGAAAAAGCUUCUCCUAAUACGAGAGGCCCAUGACGGUACCGUAAGAAUAAGCACCGGCUAACUACGUGCCAGCAGCCGCGGUAAU